CGAUGAAGCCCUUCGGGGUGGAUUAGUGGCGAACGGGUGAGUAACACGUGGGCAAUCUGCCCUUCACUCUGGGACAAGCCCUGGAAACGGGGUCUAAUACCGGAUAACACUCUGUCCCGCAUGGGACGGGGUUAAAAGCUCCGGCGGUGAAGGAUGAGCCCGCGGCCUAUCAGCUUGUUGGUGGGGUGAUGGCCUACCAAGGCGACGACGGGUAGCCGGCCUGAGAGGGCGACCGGCCACACUGGGACUGAGACACGGCCCAGACUCCUACGGGAGGCAGCAGUGGGGAAUAUUGCACAAUGGGCGAAAGCCUGAUGCAGCGACGCCGCGUGAGGGAUGACGGCCUUCGGGUUGUAAACCUCUUUCAGCAGGGAAGAAGCGAAAGUGACGGUACCUGCAGAAGAAGCGCCGGCUAACUACGUGCCAGCAGCCGCGGUAAUACGUAGGGCGCAAGCGUUGUCCGGAAUUAUUGGGCGUAAAGAGCUCGUAGGCGGCUUGUCACGUCGGAUGUGAAAGCCCGGGGCUUAACCCCGGGUCUGCAUUCGAUACGGGCUAGCUAGAGUGUGGUAGGGGAGAUCGGAAUUCCUGGUGUAGCGGUGAAAUGCGCAGAUAUCAGGAGGAACACCGGUGGCGAAGGCGGAUCUCUGGGCCAUUACUGACGCUGAGGAGCGAAAGCGUGGGGAGCGAACAGGAUUAGAUACCCUGGUAGUCCACGCCGUAAACGUUGGGAACUAGGUGUUGGCGACAUUCCACGUCGUCGGUGCCGCAGCUAACGCAUUAAGUUCCCCGCCUGGGGAGUACGGCCGCAAGGCUAAAACUCA
rnacentral:rRNA from 1 species